AUUGAACGCUAGCGGGAUGCUUUACACAUGCAAGUCGAACGGCAGCGCGGACUUCGGUCUGGCGGCGCGUGGCGAACGGGUGAGUAAUGUAUCGGAACGUGCCCAGUAUCGGGGGAUAACUACGCUAAAGCGUACCUAAUACCGCAUACGCCCUCCGGGGGAACCCAGUGGAUCGUAAGACCUUGCACUAUUGGAUCGCCCGAUAUCGGAUUAGCUAGUUGGUGAGGUAACGGCUCACCAAGGCGACGAUCCGUAGCUGGUUUGCGAGGACGACCUGCCACACUGGGACUGAGACACGGCCCAGAGUCCUACGGGAGGCAGCAGUGGGGAAUUUUGGACAAUGGGGGCAACCCUGAGCCAGCCAUCCGGCGUGGGCGAUGAAGGCCUUCGGGUUGUAAAGCACUUUUGGCAGGAAAGAAACGUCGCGGGCUAAUACCCCGUGGAACUGACGGUACCUGCAGAAUAAGCACCGGCUAACUACGU
rnacentral:rRNA from 1 species